UCUGCAGGUUUGUCGAAGCUCUGAGAGCUCAGAUGAAGGAGCGUUUGUCUCAGAUGAAGCUGGAGCUCCCUACUCUCUGCUGCUGUGCCUCCUCUUUUUGGGAUUCCCACCCUGACACCUGCGCCAACAACUGCAUCUUCCACAACAACCCCAGAGCAUAUGCUAAAGCUCUGCAGUUAACACUGGUGAAUUUGGACUUACAGUAAUGGAAACUGCAAUUUCUGAAGGAACUGGCAUCUCGCUUUUCGUUUUUGUCAGAUGUUUAGACAUGUUUAGUGGUUGCAUCAUUAGAAGACAUGCUGUAGUACUUUUCACACAUAUUCUUUGUAGGGUGAAUUUGGCUGCUUGUAUUUUAUGUCACCAAAUUACCUGGCCAGUUUAACAUUCCCAGUGAUUUUAAUAGCACCCUAGUUGGACUAAUUAUAUCCCCAUUACUCUUUAUUAAGGUUCUAAUCCAGCUCAAACUCAACUUUCUAACAAUUUAAGCAAUACUUUUCUGGAUUAGGUAUAAUAAAUAUUUUUUCUUUGUUUGCAUUUUGUUAACUUUUCUUACUUUAUUUAUUGUAAAUUAUGAAUUCUGUGUAUAUGUGAACAUUGUACAUGUAAUUAUUGACAAUUUUACAAAGGCACAUUGACUUUGUAAAAUUAUGUCAAUGUGACAGAAAAUAAGUAAAAGUAAAAGUUAAACUUGAAUUUCACUCAUUGUUGUCGGGUGGAUUUUGCAAGAAUUCACCUACUGGUCUGCUGUUUUUUUUUUAAAAAAGUAUUAAAAAAAUAAAAUCUCACGUUUCCCUCA